UUCGGAUUAAGACCGCAUAAAAACACAGGAUAGCAUUAUCCAAUGUUCAAAUAUUUAUAGGAUUAAGAUGGGCAUGCGUGUCAUUAGCUAGUUGGCGGGGUAACGGCCCACCAAGGCGACGAUGACUAGGGGAUCUGAGAGGAUGACCCCCCACACUGGUACUGAGACACGGACCAGACUCCUACGGGAGGCAGCAGUAAGGAAUAUUGGUCAAUGGAGGGAACUCUGAACCAGCCAUGCCGCGUGCAGGAAGACAGCCCUCUGGGUCGUAAACUGCUUUUAUUCGGGAAUAAACCUUUCUACGUGUAGGAAGCUGAAUGUACCGAAGGAAUAAGGAUCGGCUAACUCCGUGCCAGCAGCCGCGGUAAUACGGAGGAUCCAAGCGUUAUCCGGAUUUAUUGGGUUUAAAGGGUGCGUAGGCGGCUUAUUAAGUCAGGGGUGAAAGACGGUGGCUCAACCAUCGCAGUGCCCUUGAUACUGAUGAGCUUGAAUACACUAGAGGUAGGCGGAAUGUGACAAGUAGCGGUGAAAUGCAUAGAUAUGUCACAGAACACCGAUUGCGAAGGCAGCUUACUAUGGUGUUAUUGAC
rnacentral:rRNA from 1 species